rnacentral:rRNA from 1 species
CAGUCGCCGCGGUAAUACGAAGGGUGCAAGCGUUAAUCGGAAUUACUGGGCGUAAAGCGUGCGUAGGCGGUGAGUUAAGUCUGCUGUGAAAUCCCCGGGCUCAACCUGGGAAUGGCAGUGGAUACUGGCUCGCUAGAGGGUGUCAGAGGAUGGUGGAAUUCCCGGUGUAGCGGUGAAAUGCGUAGAGAUCGGGAGGAACAUCAGUGGCGAAGGCGGCCAUCUGGGACAACACUGACGCUGAGGCACGAAAGCGUGGGGAGCAAACAGGAUUAGAUACCCCCGUAGUCCCUGUCUCUUAUAC